GGCCCGAGCCUGGUCUCGGGCCGCCCCGGCGCAGCCUGCGGCGCCCGCUCUUACAUCCUGCCCGCAAGGGAUCCGUGCACCUGAGGCCACAGCACACCUGCUGGCCCUUGGGCCUCGAGCGGGGAGGAGGGUCAGGGUCAGCUCAACUCUUGCCCGAGGGUCCAUGUGAGAAAGACGUUGGGCACCAGGAUCAGCUCCCCGAAGCCAAAUCCUUGAGCCCACCUGCCCAGUGGACGGGACACAGGCCAAGUCCAUCCUGCGCUGCGCGGAAAAUAGAAGAGGAUGACAACUUCCCAAGGAGCCCAGGAACUCCUGGAGCAGGGCUGGUGGGAACUGGCCUGGGGACAGAAGAAGACAGCCUUGUUCCAUCCUGUGCUAAAGCCAUGCCAGUCCCCCACAAACCCAGGGCACAGCCACACUGGGUAGUGAUCACAUGGCCCCAGAGUGUUCUGAAAGGUCCAGAUAUGGGGCUUCAACUGUCCAGGAGGGCAGGCCAGGGAAGACCUGCCCCAGCCCACAGCUCGUGCAUGCGCUGCACGAGGUGUUUGUGCACCCCCAAACUCAGCCCUCAUGAUGCACCCCAUGGGAUACCACCCUGUUGUAUGGGAGAAGCAGUAAAAUGCCUACGUAGUCCUAGGUUGGUGCCAAGGCCACACAGCUGGGAGGGAACAGGGCUGGGGCACCCCCGUCC
rnacentral:lncRNA from 1 species